AACGAACGCUGGCGGCAGGCCUAACACAUGCAAGUCGAGCGAACCCUUCGGGGUUAGCGGCGGACGGGUUAGUAACGCGUGGGAAUAUACCCUUUGGUACGGAAUAGCCUCGGGAGACUGAGAGUAAUACCGUAUGUGCCCUUCGGGGGAAGAUUUAUCGCCAAAGGAUUAGCCCGCGUUGGAUUAGAUAGUUGGUGGGGUAAUGGCCUACCAAGUCUACGAUCCAUAGCUGGUUUGAGAGGAUGAUCAGCAACACUGGGACUGAGACACGGCCCAGACUCCUACGGGAGGCAGCAGUGGGGAAUCUUAGACAAUGGGCGCAAGCCUGAUCUAGCCAUGCCGCGUGGACGAUGAAGGCCUUAGGGUUGUAAAGUCCUUUCAGAUGGGAAGAUAAUGACGGUACCAUCAGAAGAAGCCCCGGCUAACUCCGUG
rnacentral:rRNA from 1 species